rnacentral:misc_RNA from 1 species
GUUUUCUAAUGUUGAAAAGAUGGGGUGUGGGCAUGACACUGUGGUUGGUUGGGGGAAGGAACUUGGAAAGAAAGGGAAAAAAGAAGAAGAAGAAGAAUUAAAGGGGUGAAAGUCAGUGGGGGUGAAAAGUUGAAGACAGUGAGGGUUUUCCUUUCGUCCUGGUUGUUGAGAUGGAAAAAUGAAGUAAUUCAAUGGUUACUUUGUGGUUUUAAUUUGGAUAUUUAAAUCUUUAGUUUGAUAGGAACCUGCAUUUUUUUCCUGUUCAUACUUUUAUGCAGAUAUUGUUCACAGUGCUGUAGCAUUAAUUAUGUUUGAGGUCAUGGGCUUUUGGCUUCCUUAACUAG